rnacentral:misc_RNA from 1 species
GAUGAAGAACGUAGCGAAAUGCGAUACGUAGUGUGAAUUGCAGAAUUCAGUGAAUCAUCGAAUCUUUGAACGCACAUUGCACCUCUCGGUAUUCCGGGAGGUAUGCCUGUUCGAGCGUCAUUUGUACCCUCAAGCUCUGCUUGGUGUUGGGUGUUUGUUCCGCCUCUGUGUGUGAACUCGCCUCAAAACAAUUGGCAGCCGGCGUGCUUGUUUCGGAGCGCAGCACAUUUUGCGAUCCAGAUCAACGUACAGCGGCAUCCAAGAAGCCUUAUUUAACGCUCUUGACCUCGGAUCAGGUAGGGAUACCCGCUGAACUUAAGCAUAUCAAUAAGCGGAGGA